rnacentral:rRNA from 1 species
GUGACCCCAGGAUGGGCGAGGCCACCCGCCGAG